rnacentral:rRNA from 1 species
AUUGAACGCUGGCGGCAGGCCUAACACAUGCAAGUCGAGCGAGCGGCGGACGGGUGAGUAAUGUAUGGGGACUGCCCGUUAUAGGGGGAUAACUACUGGAAACGGUAGCUAAUACCGCAUACUAUCGGAUAACCCAUAUGGGAUUAGCUAGUAGGUGAGGUAAUGGCUCACCUAGGCGACGAUCCCUAGCUGGUCUGAGAGGAUGAUCAGCCACACUGGGCCUGAGAUACGGCCCAGACUCCGACGGAGGCAGCAGUGGGGAAUAUUGCAACAUGGGCGCAAGCCUGAUGCAGCCAUGCCGCGUGUAGGAAGAAGGCCCUAGGGUUGUAAAGUACUUUCAGUCGGGAGGCGGUACCGACAGAAGACGCAUCGGCUAACUCCGUGCCAGCAGCCGCGGUAAUUC